CNNCCCNCCGUGGGGNUUUUGCCAAUGGGCGCNAUUCCGAUGCAGCACGCCGCGUGANGGAUGACGGCCUUCGGGUUGUAAACCUCUUUUAGUAGGGAAGAAGCGAAAGUGACGGUACCUGCAGAAAAAGCACCGGCUAACUACGUGCCAGCAGCCGCGGUAAUACGUAGGGUGCAAGCGUUGUCCGGAAUUAUUGGGCGUAAAGAGCUCGUAGGCGGCUUGUCGCGUCUGCUGUGAAAACCCGAGGCUCAACCUCGGGCCUGCAGUGGGUACGGGCAGGCUAGAGUGCGGUAGGGGAGAUUGGAAUUCCUGGUGUAGCGGUGGAAUGCGCAGAUAUCAGGAGGAACACCGAUGGCGAAGGCAGAUCUCUGGGCCGUAACUGACGCUGAGGAGCGAAAGCAUGGGGAGCGAACAGGAUUAGAUACCCUGGUAGUCCAUGCCGUAAACGUUGGGAACUAGAUGUAGGGCCUGUUCCACGGGUUCUGUGUCGUANCUAACGCAUUAAGUUCCCCGCCUGGGGAGUACGGCCGCAAGGCUAAAACUCAAAGGAAUUGACGGGGGGCCCGCACAAGCGGCGGAGCAUGCGGAUUAAUUCNNAUGCAACCCGAAGAACCUUUACCAAGGCUUUGACAUAUACCGAGAACGCUNUANANAUACAAAACUCUUUGGGAACACUCNUNAAANAAGGUGGUGCNAUGGUUUGUCNUCC
rnacentral:rRNA from 1 species